rnacentral:rRNA from 1 species
CGCGUAGGCGGUUUGCUAAGUCCGAUGUUAAAGACCGAGGCUCAACCUCGACACGGCGUUGGAUACUGGCAAGCUUGACGGCUGGAGAGGCGAGUGGAAUUACCAGUGUAGCGGUGGAAUGCGUAGAUACUGGUAGGAACACCCAUUGCGAAGGCAGCUCGCUGGACAGCACGUGACGCUGAGGCGCGAAAGUGUGGGGAGCAAACC